rnacentral:rRNA from 1 species
UACGUAGGGCGCAAGCGUUUGUCCGGAAUCAUUGGGCGUAAAGAGCUCGUAGGUGGUCUGUUACGUCUGCUGUGAAAUCCUAGGGCUUAACCCUGGGCCUGCAGUGGAUACGGGCAGACUAGAGGUAGGUAGGGGAGAAUGGAAUUUCCGGUGGAGCGGUGAAAUGCGUAGAGAUCGGAAAGAACACCAACGGCGAAAGCACUCUGCUGGGCCGACACUGACACUGAGAGACGAAAGCUAGGGGAGCGAAUGGG